rnacentral:rRNA from 1 species
GCAUUCGAAACUGGCAGGCUAGAGUCUUGUAGAGGGGGGUAGAAUUCCAGGUGUAGCGGUGAAAUGCGUAGAGAUCUGGAGGAAUACCGGUGGCGAAGGCGGCCCCCUGGACAAAGACUGACGCUCAGGUGCGAAAGCGUGGGGAGCAAACAGGAUUAGAUACCCUGGUAGUCCACGCCGUAAACGAUGUCGAUUUGGAGGUUGUGCCCUUGAGGCGUGGCUUCCGGAGCUAACGCGUUAAAUCGACCGCCUGGGGAGUACGGCCGCAAGGUUAAAACUCAAAUGAAUUGACGGGGGCCCGCACAAGCGGUGGAGCAUGUGGUUUAAUUCGAUGCAACGCGAAGAACCUUACCUGGUCUUGACAUCCACAGAACUUUCCAGAGAUGGAUUGGUGCCUUCGGGAACUGUGAGACAGGUGCUGCAUGGCUGUCGUCAGCUCGUGUUGUGAAAUGUUGGGUUAAGUCCCGCAACGAGCGCAACCC